AGUGAACGCUGGCGGUAGGCCUAACACAUGCAAGUCGAACGGCAGCACAGUAAGCGCUUGCCCUUACGGGUGGCGAGUGGCGGACGGGUGAGGAAUACAUCGGCAUCUACUUUUUCGUGGGGGAUAACGUAGGGAAACUUACGCUACUACCGCAUACGACCUACGGGUGAAAGCAGGGGAUCUUCGGACCUUGCGCGAUUGAAUGAGCCGAUGUCGGAUUAGCUAGUUGGCGUGGUAAAGGCCCACCAAGGCGACGAUCCGUAGCUGGUCUGAGAGGAUGAUCAGCCACACUGGAACUGAGACACGGUCCAGACUCCUACGGGAGGCAGCAGUAGGGAAUAUUGGACAAUGGGCGCAAGCCUGAUCCAGCCAUACCGCGUGAGUGAAGAAGGCCUUCGGGUUGUAAAGCUCUGUUGUUAGGAAAGAAAAGCAGCAGGUGUAUACCCCGCUGUUCUGACGGUACCCAAAGAAUAAGCACCGGCUAACUUCGUG
rnacentral:rRNA from 1 species